AUGGGGUCUUCAAAAUCAUUAUUUGGAAAACAAUGCCCGUUUACUCAACAACCACUCCUGAAGCUCCUACUGUGUGCCAGACAAAAGUCAGAUCUGACAAUCCUAGGUCCCCAUUCCCCCCUGGCAUCGUGGACUGGAGCCGAGUAUCUGCAGGAGUUCUUCAGUUUUCCAUACUCCCCACCCAUCCCCAGCCCUGAAACCAAGACUCCAGAGCCCAGGAUCAUUGCACACACAGAGUCGUAUUCCUUACGCUCAAGAAAUCCUUCCUGUACCCAGGAAAUUGAAAACCAGACCAAGGAAGUGGUAUGUUUUUUGAAAAGAAAGCAUAAAUCAAUCUCUGUAAGCAAAGACAAUCCUUAG
rnacentral:lncRNA from 1 species